rnacentral:lncRNA from 1 species
GACCAUCGAGAUCCAGAUCCCGCUCCCACGCGCCAUCGCAGAGCGCGUGAGAGGGCUGUACCUGUACAUCCCCAGUAAAGACUUCCCAGAUCUAUCUUAAAGACUAAAACCUCACCAUCCCCCAACAACUCCACCUGUAUAAAUAACCAAGCAGCCUCAUCUUCUUCCUCGCGCCGUUCUCUCUCUCCCUCUCUCUAUCCCUCCCCUCGCCAUCUCCUCGUCGCUCCGAGAGAGAGAACUCAUCUCAUUCUCCUUCCCCGUCUACGCGAAGGUAGGGGUCGUUGAACCGCUUCGCAUUCCCUCCAUUCUUUUCUUUUGCCCGUGUCUCGUUGCCUUGCCUGUGACUGGUCGUGAUGGACCCUAGAUUUAGACCCGAUACUGAACAUGGUCCGCUCGCGCACGGCGGGCGCGACCGCGUCGGAGCUCCCGUAACUGGGGUCCCGCUCCGGUUCAGUGUUUGCGUUUUCGCCGUUAGAUCGUCGGACCCUAUGUUUCUAUUGUCUGCUUCUCGAUCUCGGGAAGUGAUCGAGAUCGAGUGGCGAGUGUGACUCGCCGUCUCGACCCUUGGGAGCGUCGGACGCCGUCGCGCUCCCGCUUCCU